CCUAACACAUGCAAGUCGAGCGGAACUGAGGGAGCUUGCUCCUUCCAGUUUAGCGGCGGACGGGUGAGUAACACGUGGGCAACCUGCCCUGCAGAUCGGGAUAACUCCGGGAAACCGGUGCUAAUACCGAAUAGUUUGAGGCCUCUCCUGAGGCUUCACGGAAAGACGGUUUCGGCUGUCACUGCAGGAUGGGCCCGCGGCGCAUUAGCUAGUUGGUGGGGUAACGGCCCACCAAGGCCACGAUGCGUAGCCGACCUGAGAGGGUGACCGGCCACACUGGGACUGAGACACGGCCCAGACUCCUACGGGAGGCAGCAGUAGGGAAUCUUCCGCAAUGGACGCAAGUCUGACGGAGCAACGCCGCGUGAGUGACGAA
rnacentral:rRNA from 1 species